rnacentral:rRNA from 1 species
AGAGUUUGAUCAUGGCUCAGGAUGAACGCUGCGGCGUGCUUAACACAUGCAAGUCGAACGAUGAAGCCGGAGCUUGCUCUGGUGGAUUAGUGGCGAACGGGUGAGUAACACGUGAGUAACCUGCCCUUGACUCUGGGAUAAGCGUUGGAAACGACGUCUAAUACCGGAUACGACGCGCGAAGGCAUCUUCUGCGCGUGGAAAGAAUUUCGGUCAAGGAUGGACUCGCGGCCUAUCAGCUAGUUGGUGAGGUAACGGCCCACCAAGGCGACGACGGGUAGCCGGCCUGAGAGGGUGACCGGCCACACUGGGACUGAGACACGGCCCAGACUCCUACGGGAGGCAGCAGUGGGGAAUAUUGCACAAUGGGCGCAAGCCUGAUGCAGCAACGCCGCGUGAGGGACGACGGCCUUCGGGUUGUAAACCUCUUUUAGUAGGGAAGAAGCGAAAGUGACGGUACCUGCAGAAAAAGCACCGGCUAACUACGUGCCAGCAGCCGCGGUAAUACGUAGGGGGCAAGCGUUAUCCGGAAUCACUGGGCGUAAAGGGUGCGUAGGUGGUUCUUCAAGUCAGAAGUGAAAGGCAGUGGCUUAACCACUGUAAGCUUUUGAAACUGAGGAACUUGAGUGCAGGAGAGGUAAGUGGAAUUCCUAGUGUAGCGGUGAAAUGCGUAGAUAUUAGGAGGAACACCAGUGGCGAAGGCGACUUACUGGACUGUUACUGACACUGAGGCACGAAAGCGUGGGGAGCAAACAGGAUUAGAUACCCUGCUAGUCC